rfam:Roseburia sp. CAG:45 genomic scaffold, scf64
UAAGAAGGGCUGUUAGGGGCACUUGGAAUUUCGUCCGGCAACAGGCAACGCUGGCACAUGGACGUGCCAGCGAGGCGCAUAUGAACAUGGAUGUGAAUUUGCACCGGUUGCCGGACAAAAUAUUUUGCCUGCCGAAAUUCCUAGUGCCCCUUACAGGUCUUAUAC